UAUGAGAUUGAUUGAAAAGAGGUCAUUUUCUGAAACUGGGCAUUCAAGGGCCAGUUUGAGUGAUUUGGUUACCGUGGUAUUUGGAGUGGAUGCCAUUAUAGAGCAAUAGAGAGCAACUGCGACAGAAAUCUUGGGUGAGAAAGGGUUGCAAUUUGUAUUAACUACAUUUUUCUUUUUGUAGAACUUAUUUUUGGACUUGAAUUUUUUAUGGAAACCAUUUUUUAUUCUUGGUGUUAAAUUUACAGGUUAUACUAAAGGGGGCUUGACUAAGGGGAGACUUUAAAUAGCAAGUGUAGUUAAGCAUAUAAAGG
rnacentral:lncRNA from 1 species